GUAGUCCACGCCCUAAACGAUGUCAACUAGUUGUCGGGUCUUAACGGACUUGGUAACGUAGCUAACGCGUGAAGUUGACCGCCUGGGGAGUACGGUCGCAAGAUUAAAACUCAAAGGAAUUGACGGGGACCCGCACAAGCGGUGGAUUAUGUGGAUUAAUUCGAUGCAACGCGAAAAACCUUACCUACCCUUGACAUGUACCGAAGCCCGCCGAGAGGUGAGUGUGCCCGAAAGGGAACGGUAACACAGGUGCUGCAUGGCUGUCGUCAGCUCGUGUCGUGAGAUGUUGGGUUAAGUCCCGCAACGAGCGCAACCCUUGUCAUUAAUUGCCAUCAUUCAGUUGGGCACUUUAAUGAAACUGCCGGUGACAAACCGGA
rnacentral:rRNA from 1 species